GACGAACGCUGGCGGCAUGCCUAAUACAUGCAAGUCGAGCGAACAGAUGAAGUGCUUGCACUUCUGACGUUAGCGGCGAACGGGUGAGUAACACGUAAGGAAUCUACCUAUAAGCGGGGGAUAACAUUCGGAAACGGGUGCUAAUACCGCAUAAUAUCUUCUUCCGCAUGGAAGAAGAUUGAAAGACGGCUCUGCUGUCACUUAUCGAUGACCUUGCGGUGCAUUAGUUAGUUGGUGGGGUAACGGCCUACCAAGACGAUGAUGCAUAGCCGACCUGAGAGGGUGAUCGGCCACAUUGGGACUGAGACACGGCCCAAACUCCUACGGGAGGCAGCAGUAGGGAAUCUUCCGCAAUGGGCGAAAGCCUGACGGAGCAAUGCCGCGUGAGUGAAGAAGGCCUUCGGGUCGUAAAACUCUGUUAUAAGAGAAGAACAAACUGUAGAGUAACUGCUACAGUCUUGACGGUAUCUUAUCAGAAAGCCACGGCUAACUACGUGCCAGCAGCCGCCGUAA
rnacentral:rRNA from 1 species